UAAGACGUUAGAAUUUAGCUUGUAAGGUAUAAUUGUAAGGCUGGAUCUAAUGAAAUAUUGCCGAGAGUGGUAAAGUCACGUGUUACUUUGAAAGGAAAUUAGGAGUAGGUGUUUUUUUACGGAGUACGACUAAUUGAAAGUGAACAAAUUACGUGGUUAUAUUUAUUGAUUAGUUUCUGGGGAUGUAUUAUAUUACAGCUAUGUAUAUCGCUGUAAUAUGUUUCAAUUUAUCUCUGUAAUUUGUAUCUGUAUAAAUUCUUUUAUUAUUUAGAUCGGUUUUAUUUUCCACGGUCGUUGGAUAUUGUUUAUAAUUACACUGAAACUUCUAAAUUCUCGAUAUGCAUUUGUAAUUCCCUCUUUUAGAACAGUCUUAGCAGCUCUCUGAUUUACCGGCCAACGGUAACCGUGUGAUCGGACUUGUAGUUUAUUCAUUUUCCAUAGCGCUGUACUCCACUAAUCGUCAUUUCGCCUGCGUAAAUAUUCAAAUUCAAGAAUUAAGAAGAAAAUAGAUUCUACUUUUUAGAAUUCCCAUCGUCAAAUGAAGAGACAGCUUUGAUACAAACGGAAUUGGCUAACAAUACAUUGAAUUUUAAAAUUGCUCCUCUAAGACAAGCUUCUUCUAAGACUUAUUCGGUGAAGCACACGAUCUUUCUAUGACUACGAUGUAGGCUGGAUGAAGCGAUAACCAGGGUCGUCGAAGACGACGCGAUAACGCGAAAUCGGCGACGAGGUCUGGACCAGCGAAAAGUUUCCGGCGCCAUAAGGAUCGCACGCCUCGGGCCGGUCAGGGUGAAACUUUUCGCCUAAAUUCCCCCGGGUGCCAUGAGAAAGCAUCAGUCCUACCAUCGUCGGGGAGAGUACAACGCCCCUGAAGUGCAAAACGUCCUGCUACCAGUCACCAUCUCCGCGUCAAAUAAAACAACCGACAAACAAUCGUCAAAUAAUAGCAUCCAGAGAAAUAAUACAAUAACAGAAUAAUGGAAUAGUAAUAACGCAGAAAAAGUAGUACAUCGAUAGAAUAAUAGACGGAUACUAACACUGAGAAGUAAAACGAUAGAAGUAGAAUGCAAUAUUUAAUAAUAGCGCAUAAAAAUUUCCUUCUUUCUAUUGUUAAUCCAUUUAGAACUAGGAAUUCGUAUAUUUUAUUUGCAAUUUUUCUUUUUUUUUUUUUUUUAAUAUUCUUUGCUUUGCUAGAAUUCGAAGGCUUUUCUUUUCUAAUUUUUCCGAUCUCUUCCUUUCUGCUCGUAAUGUCUUCUAGUAAUAAUUUGUUGGAAAUAUAACGAAAGCAAAUAUAUUAUUAUAAAAUUCGAUACAGGUAAUAGUUGGGAUGGGUGAUUUUUGGUGUUUGAUAAGAGUUUGGUGUUUGUUUGUAUGGGCAGAAAGUUUGUACAUGCAGAUACAUAUACGUAGGCAGAAACUUUGUAUAGGAAAUAUUUUCUUUUUUAUAUUUAUUUAUAUAUAUUAUUAUUAUUUAUAUAUAUUUAUAUAUAUUUUGUAUUUAAUAAGAUUGAGCAGAAAGGUCCUUUCUGCUGGUCUUUAAAUAUUAAUAGGAUAGCGAUAGCACAGAAAAAUAAUAUACCACAGAAAUUCGUUCUCUUUA